rnacentral:rRNA from 1 species
GAUGAACGCUGGCGGCGUGCCUAAUACAUGCAAGUCGAGCGAACAGACGAGGAGCUUGCUCCUCUGACGUUAGCGGCGGACGGGUGAGUAACACGUGGAUAACCUACCUAUAAGACUGGGAUAACUUCGGGAAACCGGAGCUAAUACCGGAUAAUAUAUUGAACCGCAUGGUUCAAUAGUGAAAGACGGUUUUGCUGUCACUUAUAGAUGGAUCCGCGCCGCAUUAGCUAGUUGGUAAGGUAACGGCUUACCAAGGCAACGAUGCGUAGCCGACCUGAGAGGGUGAUCGGCCACACUGGACCUGAGACACGGUCCAGACUCCUACGGGAGGCAGCAGUAGGGAAUCUUCCGCAAUGGGCGCAAGCCUGACGGAGCAACGCCACGUGAGAGAUGAAGGUCUUCGGAUCGUAAAACUCUGUUAUUAGGGAAGAACAAAUGUGUAAGUAACUAUGCACGUCUUGACGGUAACUAAUCAGAAAGCCACGGCUAACUACGUG